GGUGGGGGGGGGGGGGGAAGGGUGUAUCUGGUAGAAGGUUUCCGUGCUGCCAUUAGGCGCUCAGCAAGCACAACUCUGCUCGAGGCAGGGUUCAAACUCAAGCCCUCUUGUAAGAUGACCGAUCCGUAGCCAAGCGGUUUUAACUUCUCGGCCACAUAUUCCACCAUUGCGGGGAAACAAAAGUCAGAUAAGGUGCUAACUAAAAUACAAAAAUUAAAACAAACAAAAACAAUCCUCAGGGUGUAACUUACAUUGUAACAUGUUAUACUAAAUGUACAUUUAUCAAUUUAAUCCUUCUAUGAUAGCUUCACUAAUAAACGGGGAAAGGGGUUUCUACACCAAAAAUCUCAUUGAUUGGCUUAUUCUGUCACCUACGUUACAUUGUACUGCUAUGGCAAUUGGUAACUGCAGACGACUUGACUGUUACACGAGGGGCAUCCUCUUUUUAUAGUCAUUGCUGUUAAAAAAAAAAAGAAUACGUUUUUACGACAGUCGAAUUAUGUUGCUAUUUACAACUUCACUUUUUUUCGCAUUACUAAACAAAUCCAUACAGAUAAUCUAACCAUAUGUCAACAUUCGUUCACAAGGAUGAAAUUUGUUAAGACAAAAUGAAAUAUGAAAUAUUUCAAAAGCGAUGUGGUCAACAUGUAUUUGGUAAACAAAGUAUUUAUGACGUAUAAGUAAUGGUAUAACCCACACCAUAAUCCACACGAUAACCCACACCAUAGUUCACACG